UUUGAGAUGUUUCUGCUUUUCUAUGCAGGGCAAGGUGAGGCAGAAGUUAUCUUCAGGGGGGAAAUAUGUAUCAGUGAACAUUGGGCCAAUUCAGGUUGUUUCUAGUGAGCAGGUACAAGCUGUAUACAACGCCAUGAGAAAAGAUGACAGGAUGAAAUACUUUUUGUAAAUGACUUUCUUCUGUAACCUUUGUAUAGAAUUGAAUUACCUAGGCAUUAUGAUGAUUCAUGCUUUUCUUUUCACCCUUUCCCCCCCUAAUAUGUCGUAGUAUUUAUUAUUAUAAUUAAAUGUUCUUUGAUUAACUACGAAAUAAUUUUAGCCUUAAAUUGAGUAGAUAUCUUUAAAAGA